ACAAACUUAGGAGUGAAAUAAAGUAUAAUAGGCAUCGAGGGAUAUUCCUUAAGCACAACCAAUUGCUUCCAACUUACUCCCCUCCUCAAUCCUAAACUACUUCCAGUAGGGAUGUAUAGAUGGCUAGGUGGCUAGGCUUGGUGCGUGAUGCAAUGAAAAGUAGUGAGAGUUGGAUUGAGAAGAAGACAAGGUAGGCAUAGGCAUCAUAGGCUGGUUGAAAGACAAUCUUGUGAAUGUUGAGACAACCAAAUCAGGUUGCAUUAGGAGGUGGACAUCUUGAACAUCUCUUCAGUCAUCUUGACAACCAGAUCAGGUUGCAUUAGAUGAUGGGGCUCGACACUGAUGAUUCGAGCAUUUCGAUAUCAUCUACUAUGUCUCAAUUGUUUGACCCUAGAUGCAUGGGCUAUGGGAAUCAUGUGAUUUUUAGUGUAGUAGGUCAUAUACAGUGGCUUGGGUGAUCGGUUUUUGGUCCCCAUCGUCCAAUGUAACUUGAAAUCUAGUUGACCAGAUUCUUGCCCACCCCCCUCCUCUCUCUCUAUAUGUAUUUGGGGGUGACUUAAAAUGCUUUGGAGUACAUUUGACCCCAAAUGUUUUUUAUUGAAAAUAAAUGGUG
rnacentral:lncRNA from 1 species